rnacentral:lncRNA from 1 species
ACAAGAUUUUUAAGAUUGCCUAGUUCUGGAGGGAUGGAAUUGAUGAAAUUAUUGGAAGAAAAAUCAAGCUCAACUAAUCGGCUGAGAUUUCCAAGUGAAGACGGUAACUCACCUGUUAGAUUAUUUGAGGACAGGUUGAGGUAUCUGAGUCGUGGGAGGAUAGAAAUUUGAGGCGGGAUGCUCCCAAUGAGCUCAUGGUUGGCCAGGUGGAGACGGGCAAGGUUUGAGAAGCAAGAAAAGUUCAUCUUUCCAAACUUAUUUCCCACCUUGUGGAACUCUGGAGGUGGGGAAAUCUCAGUGAUUCUUCCAGCCCGAUCACAGUCUAUGAACAGUGCAAUUAUAUGAACAAUAUUUUUCGUAUAUAGUUGACAUGAACAGUGCUGGGAAUUGCACUGUUCACUCAAGAAAUAGCGAACAGUUCAAUUCUCUUGCACUGUUCACUGCCUGCGUUUUUUUUUUUUUUUUUUGUGUGUUAGUUUUUUAAUAUUUUUUUAAAAAAAUUAGUUUAGAGUUAAUUUUAUACCUGAUAAUAUUUUAUCUAAUUUUAUUACAUGCUAAAAAUAUUAUGAAAACUGUAGUUUUUGUUGGAUGAAUCUCGUACGUAAUGGAAUUAUAAAUGGUUUCAUGGAAUAAUAAAAAUUAUAUUUAUAUAAAGUAUGAUUUAUUUCAUGAUAUAAUAGCAAUAGUUAAAUCCACAAUAUUUAAAUUAAAAAUCAUAAGUACUAAUAUAUAUUUUUAAAAUUAUUUUAUAACCUCAAUUUUAAAAGUAUUCUUAACCAAACACAUUAAAUUACUUUUUUUUCAACUUCAAUUUCAACCACAGUUUUAACCAAACACCUAUUUUCUCAAACCAAACUCAACUAAAAGCACUUUUUAUAAAACAACUUUUUUUAAAUCACAACCACAACAGCUACCACAAUACCAAACACACUCUUACUAUUUUAUAGAUAAAAUCGAUUCACCAAAUACUACUCAAGAAAAGAAAAAAAAAAAAGAUUCAUCAAAUCGGGGCCAAAUCCGACAUGCAAAACCCAAUACGAGUCCACAACUUGCCAAUAUGAAAUAGGCCCAGCUAACGAGCUCAUAAUCUCAUUCAGACAUAGCCCAGCAGCCGAGCUCAUCUGGAUAAUAGAAAUAUCCGAGGAAGCGCGCGGUCAAAACCCUUAAGGAAGGUCACGCGCCCCCAAAAACCGGUGUUUACUGACUGGCUUACAUUGUUAAACAACUCGUAGCACCAAAAAUUAAAAAAUAAAGAAAGGGAAGGCCAACAGUCAUAGUGAAGCAGGCAGCUUCAAAUAAAAUGCAAUUUGAGCAAUGUGAGUUGAAAUGCCAAGAAUCAUUGUUUUCUCAAACUACUCAGUUUUUAUUGGUCUCAAGAAUUUGCCACUCAAAAGAACAAGCAUUCCAUCUUUGAUCUGGAUGCCCCCCAAACAUAAGUUUUUUUACCUCAGCAAAAUAAAAAUGAAGCAAGGCCAUGAUGAAUAACUUUACAACAAUGCAGCAUUUCAACACAAUCUAUACAGCACAUACAAAAAUUGGCAACCGUGAAAAAAAAUGGAGAGAGGAGAGGGAGUGGAAAACCAGAUUGCUGCUAGAAAGAACUCCAAUUGCCAGAACUCUUUUUGGGAGUUUGAUCUUCAGAUGAAACCUUAAAGGGGGCACUGGAGCCAAAUGGAUCUCCAUCAUCAAAUGAAGAGAAUGCACGGCUGUGGCCAAAAUCUUUGGAGCUGUUUAUGGAGUCGAACCUUGUAAGCUUUUCUCGUGGUGAAAAGCCUCCUUCAUUCAUGCUGAAGGAAUCAAAUCUCGAGUAAUUAUCAAAAUGGUCCUCUGCUUCGCUGAACCUUGGAGAGUUGCCAAAUCUUGACAUUGGGGAACCUGCAACAGAUUCUUCAAAAAAUAUACUCUUUUUCUGGAAAGUAUUCGUUGUUGAUGUGGAUUCCGUUCUGAUUGGCUUUAGACCAAAAUCAUCAGAUCCAAAGAAAUCUCUCUCGUUCUCAGAAGAGCCCUGCUAGAUGACACAACCAAAUAAUUGAGGGCAAUGUGAAGAGAUAUCUCAGACUCUUAAUUGGUGUCCGAAAACAGCCUGGAUUCGUGGGAGUCUUGCCUGUUUAUGGUUGAAACUGAACGACAAACUAUAAUUGAAGGAGAAAAUCUAAGCAACCACCAUCUCUGCUUGAUUAAGCAAUAAGCGGGAAGAUUGAAAAAUCGUUGGUUUCUUUUUUCUUUUUUCAGCCUAAUCUGAACAACUUUCUCGCGUUUCUAAAUUUGUUUGGAUUUUAAGUGAGGAUGUAAAUUUUAAUAAUCAAAGGCUCAUGAAAUUCUGGCUCCGUUUACUGUAAAUAUUUAGAAUGAAUUACUCAUAAUCUUUUUUAAACUGACUUUUGAUUUUAAAUGUUUUUCUUUAAAAUCAUAAAACUAGACUUAACUAUUUAUUAUUAUCGUGUUAGAAGUAACUUUUAAUCUAAAAAGAGAUGAUUUAUUUAUUCUAAACCAAAGACUUUCAUGGGAUUCUAAGUUUGAUCUCAAGAUUUGUAAAUCAGAACCAUAGAACCAUCCAUCUUAAACAAAUUAGUUAUUUCAAUUUUUAAUUUUUUUUGUGGUGACGGGUGAAUUGGAUAAUGUGUGAUGGAUAUCCAAUUUGGAUUGAGGACUUGAUUAAGAAUUAGGCAAUAGUUGGAGGACUUGACAAGUAAUUGCAGAAGUAGACCUGGACAACCCUACAAUCUUGUCUUUUAGGGGAAGACUUGCCUUUCGGUUUUGGAUGAUGAGGAUUGAGGCCCUUGAGUUGCCACGUUUGUGGGUUCUGGUAAUUCUUGCAGGAAUUUGAAAUCUCGUGCUGAUUAGUCUUGCUCGUAUAAAAAGGCUUAAGCCAACAGCUGAUUGGGCUUUGUUUCGUGUUCAUGUUGGAAUAGUUUGUUUUUGCUUAGGUUCAAUUGAAGGCCCGAAAAGCCUCGAACAAGAAACUGAAUAAAGAAAAUUAUUGAAUAUACACAGCCAUGGGAUAAUUAAUAAAAUCCUAAAUAAAUAUAUUAUCCUUGCAUUCUAAUAUAAUUGCAGAAUUGGAUCGGCGACUUGUCAAUUGUCACCAUGAUAAUGGGUAUAUAUAUAGAGCUUUCAUGCAAGAGAAUAUGAACUGUCAGAUAAUCAUUUGUUAUAAUUAGACUAUGUAAAACAUGUAGCAUAUACGAUCUAUGAACGACCGUCCAACGAAAAAUAUGAUGCUCCAAAUAAUUUUUUUUUUCCUGGCUUGUCUAAGAGCAUCAGCGACAGAUGCACAUACCCCAACCUUUUUCUUAUUUAAAGAUAUCAUGAAGGGGGAAUUAAUGGGAUGAUCAAUGUGAUAACAAGGUAAAGAAUUUCAACUUUAAAAAUUGGUUUCAAUAUUUUAUAAAUCAGAUGCUGAUACGAAGAAAUCAUGUGCUCAUAAUCGGAUACUAUGAUAUAUUUUCUCUGUUAGUAAAUGUCUCUGAGAUUGAAAAUAAUUUAUAGCUAGGGAUCUUGUACAGCUACAGUGUUGUGCAUUUUACUAGAUAGACAUGCUCUUGUAUAUGGUCAAAGCUUGGUCCCUAACAUGAGACGUAAAUCUUCCUUUGGAGUGGAAGAUGAUUGAAAAUUCUAUCUGUGCCAAAUGAUAAAUAAUAAGGUGCAUCAUUCAGGGGGGGGAAAAACAAAACAUGUUGCUCAGAUAGUGACAGGAGUCAUAACAGACCGUAGAGAGUAGAUCUAAUCAUUGCUUUCAGGCAUCUAUUAUACAAAAGCUUGCAGGGACAAAUUAAUGGAGUUAACAAAUAUCUUCUGCAUAUUUCAAGUGUGGAUUUGCCUAAUUAUAAGAUGAGUGAUGAUUUCAAUUUAACAUAGACGUACAGAGAGGUAGACUUAAUAUGAUGCUCAUAUAUAUUGAUACUAGCUAUCAUGCACAAGAAAAGUGUGCAUUAUUAAAAUUACAUAACAAUGUCACACUAAAAUAUUACAAAGACAUGUAGUGUGCUAAAACAAAACAAAAGGAAAAAAAUUCAUCCAAAUUUAAGAAAUUCUAUAAACGCAUGCUCUUGGAGGUGCUCUCGUUGAAGUUCCAUAUGAGCUCGAAGUUGACUUUUUCAGCGAGGAACUGUGAUCUCACCUACAUUUGUGUGCAAGCCAAGAUUUCGCAACUCCAACAAAGAAAUCUCGAGACCUCCCAAUAAUCUCUUGGGAGAUAUAAAUUCUUGAGACACGAAUUUCAUUGAAGGUCGAUAUUUUGGAUUUGAAUGUAAGCAAGAAAAUAUGAGACUUGCAAUGGUACAUAUAUUCUGUAUGACAAUCUCAUUUUUUGGAGGUGGCAAACGAGGAUCUAACACUUCUUUCAAUGUAAUAGCCUGAGCAGAUGAUGAUAGGAUAUCUCCCGGAUGCCUUCCCAUCAAAGUUUCAAGCGCCACAACUCCGAAGCUGUACACAUCACAUUUCUCUGUCACCGCCAUAGUAUAAGCCAACUCUGUCCAUAUAUAAAACGAAAUUAAUAUAUAUAUAUAUAUAUAUAUAGAGAGAGAGAGAGAGAGAGAGAGAGAGAGAGAGAGUUUGCUUUAGUUUUGCAGUGCAUGAGUGGUAAAUAUGCAUGUUAAGAAGAAAUAUUUUUACCUGGGGCAAUGUAUCCAUAGGUACCAGCAAGUACAGUAUGGUUGGACGAAUCAGGAUCGAGAAGUCUAGCCACGCCAAAAUCAGCAACAAAAGACUUGGAUUCUGAAUUCAACAGAACAUUGUUGCUUGAUAUGUCUCGAUGAACAAUUGGUGGGUUGCAAUCAUGAUGCAAGUAAGAUAAUGCGUGAGCAAUGUCUUUGAUGAUGCGUGCUCUUUUCAUCCACUUCAAUUCCACAGCUCCGACAUCAUUUCUCAAGGCACAAAACAAGCUUCCCUUUUCCAUGUACUCGUAAACAAGAAACAUGCAGCGCUGAUGCAAACAGAAUCCAUAAAGCUUUACAAUGCUCCUGUGACGUAUUUGUGUGAGCACUUCCACCUCAUUUUUGAAACUCUUGUCAAAAGCCGGCUCCUCUGCCUCUCGACGAUGAAGUUUCUUCAAGGCAACUAAUUUCCCACUUGGAAGUUGUGCUCGGUAGACGCUCCCAUAACCACCGGUUCCGAUACAAUAUCUGAGGUCAAAGUUUUCGGUCGCUGUAACGAUGUCUUCGUAUGCAAUCCUCUCAUCAUAAUUCCAUAUGGAAAACAAGUCUCCAUUCUUUAAUGUUGUUGGCUCAGGUUGGGUAGCCUUGCAUCGAGACAGAUAAUAACAACAUCCGAGACACAAGAGACAAAGUAAAAUGGUGGUGAUAGGAAGAAAUAUCUUGAUGGAAUGAAUUAUUCCGUUGUCUUUUGAAGGUGUACAUUUUGAGUGAUUAAGGUGUAAAUAUUUGUUGCCCUCAAAUGCAGUAGCUCGAAAAAUUGCAGAAUUGUCGAUAAUUUGCCUAUGAAUAAGUAAAUCACAUAAGAAAUAAAAACUAAAGGGUGGUACUGGCAAAGACAAGGGAACAAGGCCUGAGAGAUUAUUGUAACGAAAAUUCACAUGUUUUAAAGAGUCCAAAUCAUAUAGUUCGGCGGGUAUCUCUUUACUUAAAUUAUUGAAGCUCAAAUCUAGGAAUUUCAAAUGAUUACAAAACUUCAAAGAUGAUGGGAUGGAUCCAUUGAUUUGGUUGUGAGAGAGGUCUAGCCUUGUCAAGUUUGUUAAAUUGCCUAAUGAAAAAGGAAUCAAACCGGUGAUUUGGUUGUAGGAAAGAUCUAGAAAAAUCAAAUUGGAUAAAAGGCCCAAAGUUGAAGGAAUCGAACCACCUAGGAUGUUAUUAAAGGAAAGAUCUAAAUCUUCAAGGUUCGUCAAAUUUCCUAUUUCCAAAGGAAUGGAUCCAUAGAUCUUGUUAUCACUAAAGAUCAAAGACCUCAACUUGGCUAACCUACCCAAUGUUCGAGGGAUUGGACCAGUAAGUGUAUUAUAACUCACGUCCAAACUCUCUAGAUUUCUCAUGUUCCCUAUUUCUCUAGGGAGGGCACUUUCGAGACUAUUAUGAUCCAUAAAUAAAUGCGUUAGAUUGUCCAAAUGACAAAGUGCCGAAGGGAUUGGGCUGCUGAAGCUGUUAUAAGACAAGUUCAAAGUAACAAGAUUUUUAAGAUUGCCUAGUUCUGGAGGGAUGGAAUUGAUGAAAUUAUUGGAAGAAAAAUCAAGCUCAACUAAUCGGCUGAGAUUUCCAAGUGAAGACGGUAACUCACCUGCUAGAUUAUUUGAGGACAGGUCGAGGUAUGUGAGUUGUGGGAGGAUAGAAAUUUGAGGCGGGAUGCUUCCAGUGAGCUCAUGGUUGGCCAGGUCGAGACGGACAAGGUUUGAGAAGCAAGAAAAGUUCAUCUUUCCAAACUUAUUUCCCACCUUGAGGAACUCUGGAGGUGGGGAAAUCUCAGUGAUGCUUCCAGCCCGAUCACAGGAUAUGCCAAUCCACUCGCAGCGAUGCGAGGUGAGGUUGCUGUACUGACUAGUCCACCAUCCACUCUCAAGCAAAGCCUUGCCUUCUGAUGCUAGCAAGGCCGAGUCA